rnacentral:lncRNA from 1 species
GACAUAUUGGUCUUGUUUUGUAACUUCUAACCGUGCAUAACUUUUGAUACAUGUAAUGAAUCAUGACCUGAUUUUAAAUGUGUUUGCAACUUGUAUACGCAAUGUGCUCUUUAUGCUUAGUUAUGCCUUUUCCUGUGCUUAUAGACUUUUCUUAAGUAGGGUAGCAGGAACGAGAAAAGGGGACCGUGACCGAGGGCUUAGACAACCCUGUACUUGUGAGACAAAUUGAUAGACAGUUUCAUAUAAUUUAAUAGGUCCCUAGUACCGAAUAUGAAUCGAACAUAAACCCGAAGAUCCGAUCUACUAGUGUAUAAUGGAUUAACCUAGCUAGAAACUUGGUGAGCUUUUCUUGUGCGCAACAUAUGUUAUGAUUGGUUCUGUGCCAGUAUUUCAAUCUUAGGAAGUUUGAACUCCGAAAGUAUUGCAGUGGGUUGGUAAGAGAACUCGAACUACCUGAAACCGAUUAGACUGAGCUUACUUGAGACUUGAACCUGUUUAGGCUAGUGUGCUCUUGCGUAUCCUCAAUGGACCUAAUUUGACUGAAUAUAUGGAAUGUGGACUUGAAUUUUGUGACUGUUUAAGAAUGUGAAUUGCUGGACAGAGGUUAGGCCAGUGUGUUCUUACUCGUACUCAUGACCCUUGAAUUUGAACUUGAACUUGCACUUGAACUUGAACUUAUACUUUUGUUCGUACUC